UCCUACGGGAGGCAGCAGUGGGGAAUAUUGCACAAUGGGGGAAACCCUGAUGCAGCGACGCCGCGUGAGUGAAGAAGUAUUUCGGUACGUAAAGCUCUAUCAGCAGGGAAGAAAAAAAGUCCUUUGGACUUUGGACGGUACCUGACCAAGAAGCCCCGGCUAACUACGUGCCAGCAGCCGCGGUAAUACGUAGGGGGCAAGCGUUAUCCGGAUUUACUGGGUGUAAAGGGAGCGUAGACGGUAUGGCAAGUCUGAAGUGAAAGCCCAGGGCUUAACCCUGGGACUGCUUUGGAAACUGUUAGACU
rnacentral:rRNA from 1 species